GCCCGGGUGACGGAAUUGGUAGACGUAGGGGACUUAAAAUCCCCAGACAGCAAUGUCGUGCGGGUUCGAUUCCCGCCCUGGGCA
rnacentral:tRNA from 1 species